rnacentral:misc_RNA from 1 species
GAAAUGCGAUAAGUAAUGUGAAUUGCAGAAUUCAGUGAAUCAUCGAAUCUUUGAACGCACAUUGCGCCCGCCAGUAUUCUGGCGGGCAUGCCUGUUCGAGCGUCAUUUCAACCAUCAAGCCCCCGGCUUGUGUUGGGGACCUGCGGCUGCCCGCAGGCCCUGAAAAACAGUGGCGGGCUCGCUGUCACACCGAGCGUAGUAGCAUACAUUCUCGCUCAGGGCGUGCUGCGGGUUCCGGCCGUUAAAUGACCUUCAUAACCCAAGGUUGACCUCGGAUCAGGUAGGAAGACCCGCUGAACUUAAGC